GUCCCCGUAGCGCAGUGGAUAUCGCGCUGGACUUCUAAUCCAGAGGUCGCGGGUUCGAAUCCCGCCGGGGAUU
rnacentral:tRNA from 1 species